rnacentral:rRNA from 1 species
AUUGAACGCUGGCGGCAGGCCUAACACAUGCAAGUCGAGCGAGCGGCGGACGGGUGAGGAAUGUAUGGGGAACUGCCCGAUAGAGGGGGAUAACUACUGGAAACGGUGGCUAAUACCGCAUACUAUCGGAUGUACCCAGAUGGGAUUAGCUAGUAGGUGGGGUAAAGGCUCACCUAGGCGACGAUCUCUAGCUGGUCUGAGAGGAUGAUCAGCCACACUGGGACUGAGACACGGCCCAGACUCCUACGGGAGGCAGCAGUGGGGAAUAUUGCACAAUGGGCGCAAGCCUGAUGCAGCCAUGCCGCGUGUAUGAAGAAGGCCUUCGGGUUGUAAAGUACUUUCAGCGGGGAGGCGUUACCCGCAGAAGAAGCACCGACUAACUCCGUGCCAGCAGCCGCGGUAAUAC